rnacentral:rRNA from 1 species
GCAUGUUCACAUGAUUAAAGGUAUUCCGGUAGACGAUGGGGAUGCGUUCCAUUAGAUAGUAGGCGGGGUAACGGCCCACCUAGUCUUCGAUGGAUAGGGGUUCUGAGAGGAAGGUCCCCCACAUUGGAACUGAGACACGGUCCAAACUCCUACGGGAGGCAGCAGUGAGGAAUAUUGGUCAAUGGGCGAGAGCCUGAACCAGCCAAGUAGCGUGAAGGAUGACUACCCUAUGGGUUGUAAACUUCUUUUAUAAAGGAAUAAAGUCGGGUAUGCAUACCUGUUUGCAUGUACUUUAUGAAUAAGGAUCGGCUAACUCCGUGCCAGCAGCCGCGGUAAUACGGAGGAUCCGAGCGUUAUCCGGAUUUAUUGGGUUUAAAGGGAGCGUAGAUGGAUGUUUAAGUCAGUUGUGAAAGUUUGCGGCUCAACCGUAAAAUUGCAGUUGAUACUGGAUAUCUUGAGUGCAGUUGAGGCAGGCGGAAUUCGUGGUGUAGCGGUGAAAUGCUUAGAUAUCACGAAGAACUCCGAUUGCGAAGGCAGCCUGCUAAGCUGCAACUGACAUUGAGGCUCGAAAGUGUGGGUAUCAAACAGGAUUAGAUACCCUGGUAGUCCACACGGUAAACGAUGAAUACUCGCUGUUUGCGAUAUACAGCAAGCGGCC